UUCUCCGAAAGAAGGUGGGACGGGAAGACGCGGGGUAGGCAGAACACCUCCCGGAACCGAGCCGCGAGUCCUGGCGGGGCAGCAGCACAAAACUCAGGAAUAGAAGACUUCGAUUGUGUGGAAGAAACUCCAAAAAACAGAAAUUCAGACGGCACGAAGGGUACACAGUGCGAAGUCCACUCUGCCCCAUCCUCACCCUCCAGGACGCCACGCGCCCUCGCGGCCUGGCACACUCCUUGCCUCGCACGCUCUGCCACGUGCCGGCGGACGCCCGAGAAUUCGGUGACGAGACGGCAUCACCGCGAGUGAGCGACACGCCGCUGAGUAAGCGCCUGGAAACGGACUCUGUCGGGUCAGAGACACGCGCAAUUCCUCCCCCGGCGGCCAGCUUUCGUGGAGCCGGCUGCCCCCGCCCCUGCCCACCUGGGCGGCACCCCCUCCUGGCUCGGGAAGCCUCUCCACACGACGGUGCCCAAACAUCUGCAGAG